rnacentral:rRNA from 1 species
GAGUUUGAUCUUGGCUCAGAUUGAACGCUGGCGGCAUGCCUUACACAUGCAAGUCGAACGGCAGCACGGGAGCUUGCUCCUGGUGGCGAGUGGCGAACGGGUGAGUAAUGCAUCGGAACGUAUCCUGGAGUGGGGGAUAACGUAGCGAAAGUUACGCUAAUACCGCAUAUUCUGUGAGCAGGAAAGCGGGGGACCUUCGGGCCUCGCGCUCUUGGAGCGGCCGAUGUCGGAUUAGCUAGUUGGUGAGGUAAAGGCUCACCAAGGCGACGAUCCGUAGCAGGUCUGAGAGGAUGAUCCGCCACACUGGAACUGAGACACGGUCCAGACUCCUACGGGAGGCAGCAGUGGGGAAUUUUGGACAAUGGGGGCAACCCUGAUCCAGCCAUGCCGCGUGAGUGAAGAAGGCCUCGG